CCACGGGGGGGGCAAGCGUUGUCCGGAUUCACUGGGCGUAAAGGGCGUGUAGGCGGGCAGGCAAGUCGAAGGUGAAAUUCUACGGCUCAACCGUAGAACUGCCUUCGAUACUGCUUGUCUUGAGUUCGGGAGAGGGAGGCGGAAUUCCCGGUGUAGCGGUGAAAUGCGUAGAUAUCGGGAAGAACACCGGUGGCGAAGGCGGCCUCCUGGCCCGAUACUGACGCUGAGGCGCGAAAGCGUGGGGAGCAAACAGGAUUAGAAACCCUAGUAGUCC
rnacentral:rRNA from 1 species